rnacentral:rRNA from 1 species
UACGGGGGGGGCAAGCGUUGUUCGGAAUUACUGGGCGUAAAGGGCUCGUAGGCGGCCAACUAAGUCAGACGUGAAAUCCCUCGGCUUAACCGGGGAACUGCCUCUGAUACUGGAUGGCUUGAGAUUGGGAGAGGGAUGCGGAAUUCCCGGUGUAGCGGUGAAAUGCGCAGAUAUCGGGAAGAACACCCGUGGCGAAGGCGGUUCUCUGGGACGGUACUGACGCUGAGACGCGAAAGCGUGGGGAGCGAACAGG